AAUGAACGCUGGCGGCAGGCCUAACACAUGCAAGUCGAGCGAACAGAUGGGGAUCUUUCUCCGCUGACGUGAACGGCGGGCGAGUGAUUCAUACGUGUAUAACUGACCUAGGAGACUGGAAUAACUACGGGAAACCUAAUAUAGUACCGGUUAUGAUGGAGAACGGCAGGGAUCAUUGGUGAAAACCGUUUUUGCUGGGACUAGGACGGAGAUCCUCGCCGGAUUAGCUAGUUGGUAAGGUAACGGCCUACCAAGGCGACGAUGCGUAGCCGACCUGAGAGGGUGAUCGGUCACACUGGAACUGAGACACGGUCCAGACUCCUACGGGAGGCAGCAGUAGGGAAUAUUAGGCAAUGGGCGAAAGCCUGAUGCAGCAAUGCCGCGUGAGUGAUGAAGGUCUUCGGAUUGUAAAGCUCUGUAAGUGGGGAGGAAGGACAGUGUAUGAAUACCUGGAUGUAUUGACGGUACCAACAGAAAAAGCACCGGCUAACUUCGUG
rnacentral:rRNA from 1 species